rnacentral:lncRNA from 1 species
UGGAGAAUUAAAAGAAUUUAUUCAUAAAACAAUAAUGAAACUGGAUUACAUUCUGUCAAACAAUAAACAAAAAAUAAGUUCACUUUCUGAGAAAAAAAGACAGACGAGGGUCAGUCAAGAGAGAGAUAAAGAAGACAUUCUAAAAAAAAGUGGGAGAAAUGUAGUAGAGAAAGGUGAAUCCAUGUCCCAUCCCAUCAGUGGUUGUCCGAUGAGACUAGGGAACAAAGAUAUAAAAAAAUAAUUGAGGGAUGAAGUAGAUUUCUUUUUUAUUCUCUCUCCCAGGUAUUAUCUCCAUGUUAAAUAACUUUCUCUACUGUCCAGGGGAAAUCUGAAAGGCACCC